rnacentral:rRNA from 1 species
UCCAGACUCCUACGGGAGGCAGCAGUGGGGAAUAUUGCACAAUGGGCGAAAGCCUGAUGCAGCAACGCCGCGUGAAGGAAGACGGUUUUCGGAUUGUAAACUUCUCUCAAUAGGGAAGAAAGAAAUGACGGUACCUAAAUAAGAAGCCCCGGCUAACUACGUGCCAGCAGCCGCGGUAAUACGUAGGGGGCAAGCGUUAUCCGGAAUUACUGGGUGUAAAGGGAGAGUAGGUGGCAAGGUAAGCGAUAUGUGAAAGCCUUAAGCUUAACUUAAGGAUUGCAUAACGAACUAUCUAGCUAGAGUACAGGAGAGGAAAGCGGAAUUCCUAGUGUAGCGGUGAAAUGCGUAGAUAUUAGGAAGAACACCAGUGGCGAAGGCGGCUUUCUGGACUGAAACUGACGCUGAGGCUCGAAAGCGUGGGGAGCGAACAGGAUUAGAUACCCUCGUAGG